rnacentral:rRNA from 1 species
CGUAGGUGGCGAGCGUUGUCCGGAAUUACUGGGCGUAAAGGGUGCGUAGGCGGUCAGAUAAGUCAGUUGUGAAAUACCCCCGGCUUAACCGGAGGAACUGCGAUUGAUACUGUUUGACUUGAAUCAGGUUGAGGUAGGCGGAAUGUGGCAUGUAGCGGUGAAAUGCUUAGAUAUGCCAUAGAACACCGAUUGCGAAGGCAGCUUGCUGGGCCUGUAUUGACGCUGAGGCACGAAAGCGUGGGGAGCAAACAGGAUUAGAUACCCUGGUAGUCCACGCCCUAAACGAUGUUUACUUGCUGUGCGGUCUUCGGAUUGCGUGGCGAAGCGAAAGCGAUAAGUAAACCACCUGGGGAGUACGCCCGCAAGGGUG